UACGUAGGUGGCAAGCGUUGUCCGGAUUUACUGGGCGUAAAGAGCGCGCAGGCGGUCGGAUCAGUCGAAUGUGAAAGCCCCCGGCUCAACUGGGGAGGGUCAUUCGAUACUGUCCGACUCGAAGGCAGGAGAGGGAAGCGGAAUUCCCGGUGUAGUGGUGAAAUGCGUAGAUAUCGGGAGGAACACCGGUGGCGAAGGCGGCGUUCUGGACUGCAACUGACACUGAUGAACGAAAGCCAGGGGAGCAAACGGG
rnacentral:rRNA from 1 species